UACGUAGGGUGCGAGCGUUAAUCGGAAUUACUGGGCGUAAAGCGUGCGCAGGCGGUCUGUUAAGACCGAUGUGAAAUCCCCCGGGCUUAACCUGGGAACUGCAUUGGUGACUGGCAGGCUUUGAGUGUGGCAGAGGGAGGUAGAAUUCCACGUGUAGCAGUGAAAUGCGUAGAGAUGUGGAGGAAUACCGAUGGCGAAGGCCAGCCUCCUGGGCCAACACUGACGCUCAUGCACGAAAGCGUGGGGAGCAAACAGG
rnacentral:rRNA from 1 species